rfam:Pygoscelis adeliae contig7150, whole genome shotgun sequence.
CCAAAGGCUCUUCUAAGAGCCUCCCACUUGAACUGAAAAAGAGCUG